rnacentral:rRNA from 1 species
UGGAGAGUUUGAUCCUGGCUCAGGAUGAACGCUGGCGGCGUGCCUAAUACAUGCAAGUCGAGCGAGGUUCUUCGGAACCUAGCGGCGGACGGGUGAGUAACACGUGGGUAACCUGCCUGUAAGACCGGGAUAACUUCGGGAAACCGAAGCUAAUACCGGAUACUUUCGAGCAUCGCAUGAUGCUUGAUGGAAAGACGGCUUCGACUGUCACUUACAGAUGGACCCGCGUCGCAUUAGCUAGUUGGUGAGGUAACGGCUCACCAAGGCGACGAUGCGUAGCCGACCUGAGAGGGUGAUCGGCCACACUGGGACUGACCCACGGCCCAGACUCCUACGGGAGGCAGCAGUAGGGAAUCUUCGGCAAUGGGCGAAAGCCUGACCGAGCAACGCCGCGUGAGCGAUGAAGGCCUUCGGGUCGUAAAGCUCUGUUGUUAAGGAAGAACAAGUACGAGAGUAACUGCUCGUACCUUGACGGUACUUAACGAGAAAGCCACGGCUAACUACGUGCCAGCAGCGGCGGUAAUACGUAGGUGGCAAGCGUUAUCCGGAAUUAUUGGGCGUAAAGCGCGCGCAGGCGGUUUCUUAAGUCUGAUGUGAAAGCCCACGGCUCAACCGUGGAGGGUCAUUGGAAACUGGGAAACUUGAGUGCAGAAGAGGAAAGCGGAAUUCCACGUGUAGCGGUGAAAUGCGUAGAGAUGUGGAGGAACACCAGUGGCGAAGGCGGCUUUCUGGUCUGUAACUGACGCUGAGGCGCGAAAGCGUGGGGAGCAAACAGGAUUAGAUACCCUGGUAGUCCACGCCGUAAACGAUGAGUGCUAAGUGUUAGAGGGUUUCCGCCCUUUAGUGCUGAAGUUAACGCAUUAAGCACUCCGCCUGGGGAGUACGG